UACAGGGGAUGCAAGUGUUAUUCGGAAUUAUUGGGCGUAAAGCGUCUGUAGGUUGAAAAUUAAGUCUUUUGUAAAAUCUUUAAGCUCAACUUAAAGCCAGGCAAAAGAUACUAAUUUUCUUGAGAUAGUGAGGGGUAAAGGGAAUUCUUUAAGGAGCGGUGAAAUGCGUUGAUAUUUAGGAGAACACCAAAAGCGAAGGCACUUUAACUUGCACUAAAACUGACGCUGAGAGACGAAAGCUAGGGGGAGCAAACAGG
rnacentral:rRNA from 1 species